ACCCGGGGGGCUCCGGGGGCGCUCGGCGGUGCCCGGGCGGCUCCCGGGGCGGGAGGCCCCUGGCGAGCCCCGCGGCCGGUCACCUGCGGCAAGCCGCCGGCCCGGGGCUGGAGCGGGGGAUGCUCUGCCCCGAGAGGCUCGCCGGGAGCGCAGGCAGCGUGCGGUCCUGCCCAGGAGGACGGGGCUCUGCCGCCUCCCUCGGCCGCGGGGGAAGCCGCGGCCAGGCAGCGCUGCCUGCUCAGGUUACCCCGCGGGUCCCCCCCCCCGGCUUACACGGAGGCAGAAGCAUUAGCAUCUGGGCUAGUCCUGAUGCCGAGCAGCGAAGUGCGUAACACAGGAUUGGGGGGGGGGGGACUGAAGGAAGUGGACGCCUGUGCCUCCGUCUAAAAAUACAUACAUGUCCUAGAGGUGCAGCGUUUUGCACCUAUGUAGCGCCUUACGAAAAAAACUUAGUAGUGUCUGUUUCCCUUAUAAGGAAAAACAGCAGCGGUGUUGGCUUUACCUUAGAAGCUGCUGCAGAGCGAGUAAGGCGCUUUCUAGCAACUAGCAUGGCACAGACACCGACGCACCGAGCUCUUCUGUACAUACUCCUCAAUCUCUACAGCCAGCUCCAGAACAAAUGCAUGCCUCAUCCUCAUCAAGGAAAGGAAAAAAAGCCCUGCAGUUUGUACUUAUGCUUUUGGGUUGAUUUAGAAAUCCUGAAAUCCUGAAGAAGAGCAAACCACUACCACCCCUUGAAAGCCACUCGAGCCUUUGCAAACAUUUGGACUCUGAAGAGCAUCUAGACAAACAGAUUCCUAUACGGCCUCCAAAACUCAUCCACUCAGAAGUUUCACUCAA